AAGUCGUAACAAGGUUUCCGUAGGUAAGUUGUUGCUCCUCUUUCCCCGUCUAUUUUGGAACCUAACUAACGUGAUCGAAAGGUGAACCUGCGGAAGGAUCAUUAUUGAACUGAACGGUAGGAAAACCUCUUACUUAGUACCUUCUCAACCCUUGAAUAUUAUACUCUGUUGCUUUGGCAGGCCGUUCAAGCCCUGCUUGGCUAUCAACCCUCGGUUGAUGAGUGCCUGCCAGAGGAUCCAAACUCUGGAAUUUAUGUCGUCCGAGUACUAUUUUAAUAGUUAAAACUUUCAACAACGGAUCUCUUGGUUCUG
rnacentral:misc_RNA from 1 species